rnacentral:rRNA from 1 species
GACGAACGCUGGCGGCGUGCUUAACACAUGCAAGUCGAACGGAAAGGCCCUGCUUUUGUGGGGUGCUCGAGUGGCGAAAGGGUGAGUAACACGUGAGUAACCUGCCCUUGACUUUGGGAUAACUUCAGGAAACUGGGGCUAAUACCGGAUAGGAGCUCCUGCUGCAUGGUGGGGGUUGGAAAGUUUCGGCGGUUGGGGAUGGACUCGCGGCUUAUCAGCUUGUUGGUGGGGUAGUGGCUUACCAAGGCUUUGACGGGUAGCCGGCCUGAGAGGGUGACCGGCCACAUGGGGACUGAGAUACGGCCCAGACUCGUACGGGAGGCAGCAGUGGGGAAUAUUGCACAAUGGGCGGAAGCCUGAUGCAGCAACGCCGCGUGCGGGAUGACGGCCUUCGGGUUGUAAACCGCUUUCGCCUGUGACGAAGCGUGAGUGACGGUAAUGGGGAAAGAAGCACCGGCUAACUACGU